CUUGGGGUUCCGCCCACUUCCUUAUAAAAGAGGCGCAAGGCGGGAGCCAGCGUUCCUGCAGCCGUGGGCUCUGGUUGUGUCGCUCUGGUUUCUGCUGUGCCCACUGCGUCCUGUCUCCUGCGGACGGCCCUCUCUGUACUCCACAGAGUGUUGCAGGUGGUGGCUUAACCCAUUACGCUCCAAUGCCGUCCCCUUCAAGUUUCAUGAAGACUCCUCAAUAUAUAGGGUCAGGACUUGGGAAAGGAAUGGGAGUCAGAUGUGGAAGAAGACCCUCAAAAUGUGUCAGUCCAGCUCUCUGCUGUGGCCCCGGAAGGCAGUGGAGGAUGGCCCAAGUCCUUGGGCCCCUGCACCCACAUGGGAGACGUGGAAGAGGUUCCUGGCUCCUGGCUUCGGAUCGGCACAGCUCCGGCCGUUGCAGCCAUCGGGGGAGUGAACCAGCGGAUGGAACACCUUUCUCUCUGUCUCUCUCUCUCACUGUCUGUAA